rnacentral:rRNA from 1 species
GUCUUUUUGAUAAUAAUUUAAAGUCUAACCUGCCCAAUGAGGAGUUGAAUGGCCGCGGUACUUUGACCGUGCAAAGGUAGCAUAAUCAUUAGUUUUUUAAUUGAAAGCUGGAAUGAACGGUUGGACGAGAGAGUAACUGUCUCAAUUUAAUUUAAUUUAGAAUUUUAUUUUUGAGUAAAAAAGCUCAAAUAUUUUUAAAAGACGAGAAGACCCUAUAGAAUUUUAUAUUUUUAUAUAUGAAUAAUUUUUAGUAAAGUUAUAUUUUUUGCAUAUAAAAGUAUUUUGUUGGGGCGAUGGAAAAAUUAACUAAACUUUUUUUUGUUUUUUACAUUGAUUUAUGAAUAGAUGAUCCACUAAUUAUGUGAUUACAAGAUUAAAUUACCUUAGGGAUAACAGCGUAAUUUUUUUUAAGAGUUCAAAUCGAAAAAAGAGUUUGCGACCUCGAUGUUGGAUUAAAAUUAACUUUUGGUGCAGGAGCUAAAAGGUUAGGUCUGUUCGACCUUUAAAAUUUUACAUGAUCUGAGU